ensembl:lncRNA
UGCGUUAAAAAAAAUGGGCUGCUCCCGUCGCAAAUGAGGCGACCCGAUUUCAAAUCGCCAUAAAUGUUGUUUUGACGACGUCUAAACUUGUGUCGCUUCCUCUUCGUCACCGCGUCGUCGUCCUUUUUUUUUCUUCCCCAGAGAAAACGAGCGCGCGAUUGACGAAUGAAAAGGGCUUUACGUGGCAAAGACGGUGCGAAUGAAAGACCAUGCGCGCCACUUACGACGCCCGAGGGAGCGCGCGUAAUCUAAAUUGGAUAUAGGGGGCAUUAUUACGCAACAUUAUGCGUUGAGGUGGACUAAUUGCGCGUCCGGACGAGUUCAACAGCUGAGUGGCAGGGCUCUGGAUUGGCUAAGUGAUGAAAUGAUGACCCUAUUAUGAGAAGCGACUCCAAAAUGAGAGGUAUCAGAAGAAGAUUGCACCAUUCUCUCACUGCAACGCCGUCCUCCCGCACCAGACUGCCGGCUGCGCAGAUGAUGAUUGAUUCGCUCGAGAUGGAUCGCAGGAAGCACCCAUUGAUUUCCCAGUGUUUUAUCAAAAAUAUUUAUUUACAUUUGUACCCACAGCUUCACCCGCGACCCGCUAUUCCAAAUGAGGGAUGUUAUAAAAAGGAUAAUUCUCCCUCCUCCACGACAAGACAAAUUACCCGUAAUAUUA